rnacentral:lncRNA from 1 species
UUUUUUUUUUUUUUUUUAAUGUUCCACAUGUUAUUCCAGGAUGCAUCCAAGAUUGAGAACCACCGCUGUAAAUCAUUCUUCAAGUACGGUUUCCAGACCAGCCACUUCAACCUCACCUACAAAUGUGAUUGAAAUGCAAAUUCUGUCCCUGCCCCAGACCUACUAACUCAGAAACAGUGGAUUCAACACCAGCCCUGCAUGCUACGGGUUUAACAAGCCUUUCAGAUGAUGCUGAUGCUUGCUCAGAUUCAAGAACUACUGGUCUAGAGUUUUCCAACACAAUGCUAACACGUUCAGGAGUGUAACACAAGACCUCCACUCUCUCUUCUCUUAAUCAGAAGAGCAGGUCUGUUAGUAAGCCUCUUUGGGUGAAAGAACUCAUUAAGGUUUUCUUUAAGUAAUGAGUGUUUGUUGUAAUGAAAAAAAAAAAAGAGAAAUCUUGACUUUGUGGACAGGUUCCAUUAAGAGUAGGUAUUUUCAAGAUACAACAGAUGUACUAAUCUAACAACAGCUCUGGUGCCUCAAUGACAGCUUUGAGAGCUGUUAGCUCCCAAGUGUGUAAGCCUAGAACCCUAGUGUGUCUUAGCUGUCAUUUCAUCUCCUCUUACACAAACCAUUGAAUCCUUUUUCCUCUAUUUUGUCUAAAUUUUUGAGAGCAUCUGAUUGGCUCAAUCUCUUUCAUCACUUGGUGAUGAUGUUUCCAAUUUAUAAGCUUUGCUGGCCAAACUGGCUUCCCUUGGGUGAGGUCUCUUACCAAGCUCCACAAAUUGGGACCAGGGGAAAACAAAAUGCAGAGUAGAAAUCUCCCAGGGCCAUUUCCGCCAUUUCCUUACCUAAAGGUCUGAGUGCCCUCUUAACGUGGGCUGAGGGUAUGUCACACAGUGGGAAACUUGGUCUGUUAGGAAUGUUUAGCUAUUCUCUCACAUUUAUUUUAUUAUUUUUUAAAGAUUUUAUUUAUUCAUGAGAGACAGAGAGAGAGAGACAGGCAGAGGGAGAAGCAGGCUUCAUGCAGGGAGUCCGAUGUGGGACUCGAUCCCAGGUCUCUCCAGGAUCACACACCCAGGCGGCGCUAAACCGCUGGGCCACCGGGGCUGCCCUAUUUGCUCACAUUUGAAUCUAUAUGUAGUUCUUUGACAAAAGACACCAAAGACACAUUAAGCAUUUAUUCAACUAUAACUUUUGAGGAUGAGUUGGAAAUUUUUACUCAAAAACUUUGGGAAUGAAUGUUUCCCUUUCAAUAUUUGCUAUAGGGAAAUCUUCUUGUGGCCAAAUUUAGAAGAGCCAUGAGCCAUAUUAUUUUGGAAAAAUCAUCUUAUUUGCAUCCACCAGAUUGUAGGACCUAUAUUUGAUGCAGAAAUGCUCUUUGCAUAAUCUCCUUCACUAAGGCAUAAAUGAUGAAAGCUUGUUGAUAAUUUUAAAAAACUCUUUAACCAAAAAGAAAAAAAAAAAAAAACCUCAAGUGAUGGUUUUCCCAGAUCAUCCUAUUGGCCUUCCAGGCUCUCUUUUAAGAAUUGCUCUAGGGGCACCUGGGCGGCAGAGUGGGUUAAGCACCCGACUCAGGAUUUCGGUAAUCUCAGGGUGGGGAGAUGGAGCCCUGUGUCGGGCUUCUUGCUCAGCGCAGUCUGCUUGAGAUUGUCUCACCCUUUCCCUCUACCCCUUCCCCUGCUCAUGGCAGCGUGUUUUCUUAUAAAUAAAUGAAUAUAUCUAUAUAUCUUAAUGGCUGAUCUGAUUUCACUACACUAAGCUGAACUGAAAAACCGGAAAGUUCAGUCCAAAUCAAGGUUAACUAACCUUUGGGGGAAAGCUUGAGUUUGUUAUUUAAAAACCCUUAAUGAUGCCAGAAUUCACUAAACAUUCCAGAAUCAUUUUACCUCUCAAUGCCAAAAAUAAGUAUGUACUUCACCCAGAACUUUGUAGAACCCACUUACGUGGUAUCAGUAUUGCCACUUACUUUCUCUUACAGCACCAAAUGGCCGAUUCAACCUAAAAAAAAAAUAACGGCAAGCAAAUACUACCUUGACGUCUAAAUCAUACACUUGGGCUACCCAAACCAAAAUUUAAUUUGUAUUCAUCAAGUUGUUUAAUGUCACUGACUGAUUUUGAUAACAAAAGGGUACUUAGGUAAUAUUUUCAUCUUCAAUGGUUUCAAGUCUCCUUUUGUAGGCCAUAUUCUUCUAUCUUGGUUUUAGAGAAAUUCUCUCAAAAAGGCAAAGAUCCUGCAACUAUGCCCUGUGUCUAGUUUUUAUGCAUUGGCCUUCACCUCAAAAUGUGCUUCCAAAAAGAACUGAGUAAAAGAAGGAACAUCCAGCAUGUUUAUGAUGAAAAUCAUGAGCCAACUUUUGUGUUU